rnacentral:lncRNA from 1 species
AUCUGUAAUGCUGGACCAUCUUAGCUCUGGCUUGCAAUACCGUCUCACGAGUGAAGGCCGUCAGGGAGGAGCUGGGACCAGUCACGAAAUCCUGGCCCAGGAAAGUACACAGCUUGGAACAGAAGGAACACAGAUUCAAGUCCACAGACCCGGUCUUGUGCUGCUUCCGUUUCCUUGAACAGCAGGCAUCUAGACAUGAUGCUGGUCCCCGCAGCUUCUGACCUCAUUACUCAUUCUGUUUACGGCGAAGCCUCACCCUCCAGACUGCCCUGAUUUCCCAGCCUGGAAUUUGGCUGCCCUCGUUGACUAUGAUUCAGAUUUUCGCCUCAGCGACAUUGCAACCAGGCCCUCCUCCUGUGUACACAGCUCCCUGACAUCCUGGGGACCCUGUCGGGGGGCUAAUGCUGAAGCCCAUCCCAUCCCAGAGCGUUUGGACGGGGUUGUGGGUGUGGCAAAGGCCUUUGAAGCAGCGCUUCCAUUUCAAAAUUCCUCAGUCACAAGACAGAAGCCGCAGAAGCCCAGGCACACACUUGUGGCUGCAGCAGGUGACCCGAGCUUGUUCCAAGCCCUCCAGAGGCUGCGUAAUCCCCGGGAUUCCGGCGGCUGGCUGCCUGGAUGGCCAUGUAAGGUGUGGCGGCUGGCCUUCAUUAUCCAUGAGAGCUGACAGUUUCUGGAUGGCCUGC